rnacentral:rRNA from 1 species
GACAGAGGAGCCAAGCGUUGUCCGGAUUGACUGGGCGUAAAGCGCACGCAGGCGGGGGGGCGCGUGGGGGGUGAAACCUGGCCGCUUAACGGCCAGGCGCCAUCCCAUACGGCGCGUCUGGAGUGAUGCAGAGGUCGGUGGAAUUGCCGGUGUAGUGGUGAAAUGCGUAGAGAUCGGCAGGAACACCCAGGGGGAAACCAGCCGACUGGGCAUCUACUGACGCUGAGGUGCGAGAGCGUGGGGAGCGAACCGG